CAGCAGCCGCGGUAAUACGUAGGGUGCGAGCGUUAAUCGGAUUUACUGGGCGUAAAGGGCGCGUAGGUGGUUAUGUAAGUGAGAUGUGAAAUCCCCGGGCUCAACCUGGGAACUGCAUCUUAUACUGCGUAGCUGGAGUGCAGUAGAGGGUAGUGGAAUUUCCGGUGUAGCGGUGAAAUGCGUAGAUAUCGGAAGGAACACCUGUGGCGAAAGCGGCUCACUGGACCAUUUCUGACGCUGAUGCACGAAAGCUAGGGGAGCAAACAGGAUUAGAUACCCCGGUAGUCCCUGUCUCUUAUAC
rnacentral:rRNA from 1 species